UAAUGUUUUCUAUGUUGCUAACGUAUAUGAAUUAUAGUGACUAAAUUAUACAAAUGCCCUUAUGUAAAUAAAAUUACACAAAUACCCUUGUGUAAGUAUUGUGUAUACAAAAAAAGAUUAUGGAAUUAGUAAUUCAAACAGAUUGACACCUAAACAAAAUGAAAUUAAAUAAAAGAAAUUUGAAUAAAAAAAAUGUAAGAAGAGAGAGAAUUAAAACCUCAUUUCUAUCUUAAGGGCAACACUAUUGUAUUGGAUUUAGAAUGCAGACGAAGUGUGUACCUUUUUUGAAUUUCCCUCGGAAUGGAGCAAUAUAUAAUUCAAAUGUCUACACAUCAUCAACAAAAAUAAUUUUAGUCUUGUAAUAUAAAUAAAAAACCUCAUACUUUCAAAAGAAAAUCCUUAUAAAUGAAUAGGUACAAAUUAAGUCCGUCGACAUUGUACAACCCUUGCUAUUGUAUCAUAUUCAUAUCAUUUCAUUUGAAAACACUUCAUAUAGAACCUGUAAAGUCUGAGAAAAAUAAACAUAAAAAAAUAAUUAUUUAGUGGCCAAUAAUAAGAAGAAAAAGGAAAGACCC
rnacentral:lncRNA from 1 species